GUCUUUAUUUUAAGCUGUAUUGGGUGGAACCAGAGCAACAUUUAGAAACGCCGGAAAAGCAUAAUUUUUCCCAAUAAAUAAGGGAGGUGUUUCCUAGUAUUCGGAUGCCCUUUGACUUAAGAAGUUUUUCACUUUAACCGUUGGAAACAGGGCACUUUCUCUUGGAACCCUGCCAUCAGGGCACAAGGAAGCCCAUCACUCUAUAGAGAAUCUGAUGUGGAGAAAAACAGAGGCCUGGCUGACAGCUCCAGCUGAAUCCUAGUUGACAACCAGCACCAACGUACCAGCCAUGUGAGCGAGCGAUCUUCGAAGUGGAUCGUCUAGCCCUAGUCAAGCUGUCCCAGCAGAUGCCACAUGGAAAAGAGACAAGCUGUCCCUUUAAGCCCUGCCUGAAUUGCAGAUUCAUGAGCAGAAU
rnacentral:lncRNA from 10 species